AGAGUUUGAUCCUGGCUCAGGACGAACGCUGGCGGCGGGCUUAACACAUGCAAGUUGAAGGAGAAGGGGCGGCUUCGGUUGCCCUGGAGACUGGCGCGCGGGUGAGUAACGCGUAGACAACCUGCCUGGACCUGGGGGAUAACCACUGAAAGGGUGGCUAAUACCGCAUAAUGCAGCGGGGCCGCAUGGCCACAGUUGUUAAAGCUCUUCGGGGCGGGUGCAGAUGGGUCUGCGUGCUAUUAGCUAGUUGGUAGGGUAACGGCCUACCAAGGCGAUGAUAGCUAGGGGGUCUGAGAGGAUGAUCCCCCACACUGGGACUGAGACACGGCCCAGACUCCUACGGGAGGCAGCAGUGAGGAAUCUUGCGCAAUGGGGGCAACCCUGACGCAGCCACGCCGCGUGCCGGAAGACGGCCCUAUGGGUUGUAAACGGCUUUUGGUCGGGAAGAACGGGAGGGUUUCGACCUUUUUUGACGGUACCGAUUGAAUAAGCACCGGCUAACUCCGUGCCAGCAGCCGCGGUAAUACGGAGGGUGCAAGCGUUGUCCGGAAUCAUUGGGUGUAAAGGGUGCGCAGGCUGGCGCCUAAGUCGGAGGUGAAAUCUUGCCGCUUAACGGUAAAAUGGCCCCCGAUACUGGGUGUCUUGAAUCUGACAGAGGUCGGUGGAAUUCGUGGUGUAGCGGUGAAAUGCAUAGAUAUCACGAAGAACACCAGUGGCGAAGGCGGCCGGCUGGGUCAGUAUUGACGCUGAGGCACGAGAGCGUGGGGAGCGAACAGGAUUAGAUACCCUGGUAGUCCACGCUGUAAACGAUGUAUGCUAGUUGUGGGGCUUUUGGGCUCUGUGACGCAGUUAACGCAGUAAGCAUACCACCUGGGGAGUACGUUCGCAAGAAUGAAACUCAAAGGAAUUGACGG
rnacentral:rRNA from 1 species